AGUCACUGACAUUAGAUACCCCCGUAGUCCAGGGUGUAAACGCUGCAGACUUGGUGUUGGGAACCCUUCGGGGGUGCUCAGUGCCGGAGAGAAGUUGUUAAGUCUGCUACUUGGGGAGUACGUCCGCAAGGAUGAAACUUAAAGGAAUUGGCGGGGGAGCACCGCAACGGGAGGAGCGUGCGGUUUAAUUGGAUUCAACGACCGAAAAACUCACCAGCAGCGACUGUUACAUGAAAGUCAGGUUGAUGACCUUACUAGAUUUUCAG
rnacentral:rRNA from 1 species